rnacentral:rRNA from 1 species
AAUCUUGGACAAUGGGCGAAAGCCUGAUCCAGCCAUGCCGCGUGUGUAAAGAAGGUCUUCGGAUUUUAAAGCACUCUAAGUUGGGGGGAAGGGCAGAAAGUUAAUACCUUUCUGUUUUGACGUUACGGACGGAAUAAGCACCGGCUAACUUCGUGCCAGCAGCCUCGGUAAUACGACGGGUGCAAGCGUUAAUCGGAAUUACUGGUCGUAAAGCGCGCGUAGGUGGUUUGUUAAGUUGGAAGUGAAAGCCCCGGGCUCAACCUGGGAACUGCUUUCAAAACUGGCAAGCUAGAGUAUGGCGGAGGGUGGUGGAAUUUCCUGUGUAGCGGUGAAAUGCGUAGAUAUAGGAAGGAACACCAGUGGCGAAGGCGACUACCUGGACUGAUACUGACACUGAGGUGCGAAAGCGUGGGGAGCAAAC